rnacentral:rRNA from 1 species
CCUACGAGUGGCAGCAGUGGGGAAUAUUGCUCAAUGGGGGAAACCCUGAUGCAGCGACGCCGCGUGAGUGAAGAAGGAUCUCGGUAUGUAAAACUCUUUUAGUAGGGCAGAAAAUGACGGUAUCUGACUAAGAAGCCCCGGCUAACUACGUGCCAGCAGCCGCGGUAAUACGUAGGGUGCAAGCGUUACCCGGAAUCACUGGGCGUAAAGGGCGCGUAGUCGGGAUAGCAAGUCAGGAGUGAAAUCCGAUGGCUUAACCAUAGUACUGCAUUGGAAACUGUUGGUCUUGAGUGUGGGAGAGGUAGGCGGAAUUCUUGGUGUAGCGGUGAAAUGCGUAGAUAUUAAGAGGAACAC